CAAAAUGACCUUUGCGCAAAAUAAAACGGAAAAAUCAUUAAUCUAAAUUCGCUGGUUUUUGACGUACGUAUUAGUCUUAGUGAACAAACCAUUUUAUGCACAUUACAUGAAACUGGUUUGGUAGACUCAGAGCGAGCAUUAUAUAGGAGAAAGUAGAUUGCAUUAUCUUUUAGUAGUCGCUCAUAUAAGCACCCUUUCUGUCCCUAGUUUCACCGUCGCGCAGGUCUUUAAAAUAAAAAUCCUAAAAUUAACUUGUGCAGACGUCAUUUUCGGGGUUAAUUAUUUUGCGUGACGUGCAUGACAGACAGGGCUUGGAAAGAGGGCCUACGAGAAAUCUACUCGUUCCAGAUAUUCUGGCCCGUGUCUGUAGUAUAUUUUGGUCGAUAUUGUUUCCCGGUUCAGAUCGCUCUUGUCUUGGAAGUGGGUGGAAGUAUCUACUUCCGGAGUCAAAACGGUCACACCAACUUGCUAGGGCGAAAUACUCUUUUGUAAGCAAACUGUGAUGGAUUUUCUUUCUUUUUCUUUUACUGCUACUAUGCUUUUCGACAGAUAUUUCGGAGAGUUACUAAACAACUGAUUCAAAGCAGAAGAGUAUGAAUUGACGGCGAAAAUCACUUUGAAAAUAAGUAAAAGGGCGAUGGAACAAGAUGAUGAUGAUUCCCAAAGGUGCCUUCACUGCAACCGUCACCGCAAAAAUAUUCAAGCUGUAACUACUGCAGUAAUUAUUUAAUAACGCGCAAAUAAAUCGACAAAGCGCGCAAAAGCGUACCAAUCAUAUCAUUUGUUCUAUGAAAUUCCCACGAGCUUAGGCGCUGCUGAUCAUUACAUGUUGAAAAGCGCACUGCAAAUUAAUAAGUUAUUAAAAUUAUUAUUUUUAUGAGUGACGUCUCCCGCCAAAAGAGCGCACAUGUGAGGCUGGGCACAGCGCAGAUGUCAUUUGAGGACUUCUUCAGUGAACACAGCUACUCCUGUAGAAAAACACGUCACCUAGCCAAAAAUCUUCAUCGAAAAUGAACAGAAACCUGAUGAACGGCUACUAUCACACCGAUUCUCAGGCAAGAAACGUUACCGAGUCUUCGGAAAAAAUCAAUAACGAACCAAAGAUGGAGCUUUCCUGUAACUGUAACCGAUCUCCCGAGACCAUCCAGUGCAGGGGAUGUGGGAAGUCAUUUGUGGGAAGGAAAAGAAUUUUAUGCCAAAAGCACCGCAAUACAAUCCAUCUCAUGGACUUCAGUUUUUGUGUCUUCUGCAAAAAGAGACUAGAAUGAGACUACCUUAAAUGGAUAGUGGUCAGAUUGGGCAUGAGAAGAAAAAGAGUACAAAAGACUUGUGAAGAUUUUGGGAUUCUCCCUUAGCAGAGACAGCAGUUGCAGAGUAAUAAUAACGAGGAGUGUGUUGAACUACAGCAAAUCCUAUGUUCUGACUCUAAUCAAACUGUAGCAUGAAUAGGUUUUUAGAUAUACUGUAUUUCCUAGAAUAAGCACCCAUGCUCUAAUAAGUGCCCUCCUUAAAAUAAGCACCGACUCCUAACUAGUAAGGCCAAAAUGCCAAACAAAGAAGUCCUGUUGUUAUUGCCACUUGAUUGACAAUUUUUUAAGCUUCAAAAACAGCUGAAUCAGGGUAGGAUAAUAGUUUCUUUCUGUUGAUCUCACUCCCACUAUUUCUACCUCUAUGUCCUUACAGAGUUCCUUUAUGUGUGUUAUUUGUUCUUUUAAUUUUUGUCCUAGUACUGUAAUUACCCAAUAAGCCCCCCUCCCUCCCACCUUGAGUAAUUGCCAUAUUUUUAGCUCAAUUUUUAAAUAAGUGCUAGGACAGUUAGUGGAGGAAAUGUAGUAUGAGUAUGAUUUAUUCACUGGGGUUGUCAAAAUAAACCUGCAACCAGCACAUUUCACCUGCUACUCUGAAUAAUGUGCCUGCUUUUCUGAAUGCUUGUGAGUACAUUUGUAGCCUGGAAGCAUGGCAUUGAUGACCCCUAGUGUCACCUUUGUUUUCCAGUCUGGUUGAUCAAAAAAAUUUGACAACCCUGAUGCACAGUUGCCACUUGCCCUGACAGUGGGUCCUCAAGGAUGAACAUGCGCAAGUGGGAUGAAAUUUGUUUCCAUAGGGGAUUCUUAACUCUAAAACUUCCAAUAUCUGCUUGUUAAUUCUCCUCUGGGGCUACGAUACUUUUCCUUAGUCGAGAAACUGGUGUUGGAUCAAGAUAGCUACUUCUACCUAAUGAGUAGAUUACCUGUUUCCUGGAUGAUGUAUGGAUAUUAUAGGGGAAAAUUACAUGUUAAUCACAUCUGAGAGUUUAAGGCUCAAUUAAACCCUUGAAGCAUCAGCAUGCAUAUCCUA